UCUCAGGUGGUGCUAGUGGUAAAGAACCUGCCUGUCAAUACAGGAGAUGCAAAAGACGAAGGUUCCAUCCUUGGGCCGGGAAGGCCCUCUGGAGAAUGAAAUGGCAACCCACUCCAGUAUUCUUGCCUGGAGAAUCCCAUGGACAGAGGAGCCUGGUGGUCUACAGUCUGUAUGGUCACAAAGAGUCAUAUAAGACUGAGUGACUGAACUGAACUGAUGAUUUUUUUCCAUUGGGUUACUACUUCGGCACUUUUGUCAACAAUCUGUCAUCUAUCUAUCUAUCUCUAUCUAUAAGAUCCCAACUCCUGUCCAUUGGAAUAUUUGUCCGUUUUUACUCCCAAAUUAAUUUUUAUUAUGAGAAUUUUCAAAUAAAUCUUGAUGUCAAGUGGUAUAAGUGCUCCAACUUCAUUUUCUGUUUUAAGUGUAUUGCAAUUAUAGAUCUAUUGCAUUUCUAAUUUUAGAGUUGAUUUUAAAUUUGUUCUUAUUGUUGUUUGCUUGUUUAAAGAUUGGAAUAGUCCAUUAGAGAGUGAAAACUGAUGAUUCAGGAGAGACUGGGGGAGGGAAAAUUUGCUGGAGUGAUCUUUACCCUUCAGUAGGUGACAGGAAGUGGGAUCUAAACUACAUCAAGUGUGUCUGGCCUGAAAAACGUGAGCAAUUCAUCCAAAUUGAAAAGAGAAAAAGCAGAUAUUGAUACAGAUAGAUUAA